UGCAAGUCGAGGGGUAGAGUUUCUUCGGAAAUUUGAGACCGGCGCACGGGUGCGUAACGCGUAUGCAAUCUACCCUUUACUAGGGAAUAGCCCGGAGAAAUUCGGAUUAAUGCCCCAUAUGCCCACGGAAUCGCAUGGUUCAGUGGGGAAAGUUCCGACGGUAAAGGAUGAGCAUGCGUCCCAUUAGCUAGUUGGUGAGGUAACGGCUCACCAAGGCGACGAUGGGUAGGGGGCCUGAGAGGGUGAUCCCCCACACUGGUACUGAGACACGGACCAGACUCCUACGGGAGGCAGCAGUGAGGAAUAUUGGGCAAUGGAGGCAACUCUGACCCAGCUAUGCCGCGUGCAGGAAGACGGCCCUCUGGGUUGUAAACUGCUUUUGUUUGGGAAUAAACCCUCCUACGUGUAGGAGGCGGAAGGUACCUUACGAAUAAGCAUCGGCUAACUCCGUGCCAGCAGCCGCGGUAAUACGGAGGAUGCAAGCGUUAUCCGGAUUUAUUGGGUUUAAAGGGUCCGUAGGCGGGUCUUUAAGUCAGUGGUGAAAGCCCACAGCUCAACUGUGGAACUGCCAUUGAUACUGGAGAUCUUGAGUGUAGUAGAAGUAGGCGGAAUAGGGCAUGUAGCGGUGAAAUGCAUAGAUAUGCCCUAGAACACCGAUUGCGAAGGCAGCUUACUAUGUUACAACUGACGCUGAGGGACG
rnacentral:rRNA from 1 species